rnacentral:rRNA from 1 species
GGGCGUAGCCCUGACGCAGCAACGCCGCGUGAGUGAUGAAGGCCUUCGGGUCGUAAAGCUCUGUCAGAGGGAAAGAAAUGUGGGGUGGCUAAUACCCCUACAACUUGACGGUACCCUCAAAG